rnacentral:rRNA from 1 species
GACGAACGCUGGCGGCGUGCUUAACACAUGCAAGUCGAACGAAGUGGCGAACGGGUGAGUAACGCGUAAUCAACCUGCCCUUCAGAGGGGGACAACAGUUGAAAACGACUGCUAAUACGGAAUCGGAAGGUGGGGUUUUGGGUCGGUUUAGCUGGUUGGGGGGGUAACGGCCAACCAAGGCGAGGAUCAGUAGCCGGUCUGGGAGGAUGGACGGCCACAUGGGGACUGUGACACGGCCCAGACUCCCACGGGAGGCAGCAGUGGGGAAACUUCCGCAAUUGACGAAAGUCGGACGGAGCAACGGCGCGGGAGUGAUGACGGCCUUCGGGUUGUAAAGCUCUGUUACUCGGGACGCGGUACCGGAAUAGAAAGCCACGGCUAACUACGUGCCAGCAGCCGCGGUAAUAC